CUACGGGUGGCUGCAGUUAGGAAUAAUCUACAAUGCGCGCAAGCGUGAUAGUUUGAACCAGAGUGCCUCUCAAUGAGAGGCUUUUGCCAGGUGUAAAUAGCCUGGCGAAUAAGGACUGGGUAAGACGAGUGCCAGCCGCCGCGGUAAUACUCGCGGUCCAAGUCGCAGCCAUUUUUAUUGGGUCUAAAACAUCCGUAGCUUGCCCUGUAAGUUCCUUGUGAAAUCCUAUGUCUCAAGCAUAGGGCGCGCGGGGAGUACUGCAAGGCUAGAGACUGGAAGGCGUAGGAAGUACGUCCAAAGUAGCGGUAAAAUGCGUUAAUCUUGGACGGACUCACAACAGCGAAGGCAUCCUACGAGGACAGUUCUGACAGUAAGGGAUGAAGGCCAGGGGCGCAAAACGGAUUAGAUACCCCAGUAGUC
rnacentral:rRNA from 1 species